rnacentral:rRNA from 1 species
GACGAACGCUGGCGGCGUGCCUAAUACAUGCAAGUCGAACGGUUUAGUUCCAAGAGGCUUGCCUUUUGGAACUAGACAGUGGCGGACGGGUGAGUAACACGUAGGCAACCUACCUGUCAAACCGGGAUAACCUCGGGAAACCGAAGCUAAACCCGGAUAAGCUCCUUUUUCGCAUGAAGGGGGAGUGAAAAGGUGCGACCUGAUGACAGAUGGGCCUGCGGCGCAUUAGCUAGUAGGUAGGGUAACGGCCUACCUAGGCGAUGAUGCGUAGCCGACCUGAGAGAGCGUAAGGCCACACUGAGACUGGGAUAAGGCCCAGACUCCUACGGGAGGAAGCAGUAGGGAAUCUUCGGCAAUGGGCGAAAGCCUGACCGAGCAACGCCGCGUGAGUGAGGAAGGCCUUCGGGUUGUAGAACUCUGUUGUUUGGGAAGAAGGGAAAGGGUAGGACCCUUUGGUGACGGUACCAAACGAGAAAGCCCCGGCUAACUACGUG